rnacentral:rRNA from 1 species
CCUACGGGAGGCAGCAGUGAGGAAUAUUGGUCAAUGGGCGGAAGCCUGAACCAGCCAAGUAGCGUGCAGGAUGACGGCCCUACGGGUUGUAAACUGCUUUUAUACGGGAAUAACGCGCCUUACGUGUAGGGAUUUGCAUGUACCGGAUGAAUAAGGACCGGCUAAUUCCGUGCCAGCAGCCGCGGUAAUACGGAAGGUCCGGGCGUUAUCCGGAUUUAUUGGGUUUAAAGGGAACGUAGGCCGCAUUUCAAGCGUGCUGUGAAAUGUCCGGGCUCAACCCGGGCCUUGCAGCGCGAACGGGCUUGCUUGAGUCCGCGGAAAGCAGGCGGAAUUCGUCGUGUAGCGGUGAAAUGCUUAGAUAUGACGAAGAACCCCGAUUGCGAAGGCAGCUUGCUGCAGCGGAACUGACGCUGAUGCUCGAAAGCGCGGGUAUCGAACAGGAUUAGAUACCCUGGUAGUC